rnacentral:rRNA from 1 species
UACGAAGGGGGCUAGCGUUGUUCGGAAUCACUGGGCGUAAAGGGCGCGUAGGCGGCUUUAUAAGUCGGGGGUGAAAGCCUGUGGCUCAACCACAGAAUUGCCUUCGAUACUGUAGAGCUUGAGACCGGAAGAGGUAAGUGGAACUGCGAGUGUAGAGGUGAAAUUCGUAGAUAUUCGCAAGAACACCAGUGGCGAAGGCGGCUCACUGGCCCGGUACUGACGCUGAGACGCGAAAGCGUGGGGA